CAUGCCGAUCCCCUGCGCUCCAUCUCCGAUUUUAUCUUCCUAGAUGCCGGUUCUGACCUCCUCUUCCUUUCCAUCUCCCCCUCCUGCAUAAUUCACCUUCCUCUCCCUGCAGAAAGAGAAAAAGGUCUUCCUCCUCUGCCUAGGGAUAGGCCCUAUUUUCAAUCAAUAUAUGUCCAAAAGGAAAAGAUCCCUUCCUUCAAUCGAUCUGUUGGAGAUGAGUAUGAUCCGGCAACAAAUAUUCCUCUGAUUGAUCCAUCACUCCAGCAAUAUGGCGGAGAAGGAACCUGUGAACAUCGCUUACUCUCCAUCCAGAUUGGACCAGGCUUACAGAAAUAAUAUCUCUGCCGCGGCCUUAGUUCGCACACAACAUGAUCGGUACGUCGUCAAGGCCUUGAUUCAAUAAUCAGUAAAAUAUCCAGGUUGGAAUCCCCAAUUCGAUCAUCUAGCACCCUCUAAUGGGAUCAGUUUGUUAGAGGUGCAUGUUCAAGUCGAUCAAGGAUGCCUUCUAUGUGUGCAACUUGCCGGACAAUUUCCGUGUAGGAUCACGUUGAUAUUGAAUAAAGCCAUCCUGCAUUGGCAAAGUUCAUAAGUCGACGCUGCAGACAGAUCUCUAUUGUGCAUUUGUUAACAGUUGGAUGAAAGCAAUAUGUCUUACCUGCACUUAUGUAGGUACUAGCACAUCUAGCUGGAAUCGAUUAACCUACUUGGGAAGUCAGAUGGGUUAUUACAUGUACAUGUGGCAUUCUUUGCAGAUCGAAUUUUCCUAGCCGUCGUGCUUCCGCUCUUUCUCUCUCCACUACUCCCGUCCUGCUCCUUCCAUCUUUACUACUAUUAAUAAAUCAAUGUUCCUACUC